GGCCCUACGGGGUGCAGCAGGCGAGAAACCUUUGCAAUGUGCGAAAGCACGACAAGGUUAAUCCGAGUGUCUUCUGCUAAAGAAGUCUUUUGU
rnacentral:rRNA from 1 species